rnacentral:rRNA from 1 species
GAUAAACGCUGGCGGCGUGCCUAAUACAUGCAAGUCGAGCGAACGGACGAGAAGCUUGCUUCUCUGAUGUUAGCGGCGGACGGGUGAGUAACACGUGGAUAACCUACCUAUAAGACUGGGAUAACUUCGGGAAACCGGAGCUAAUACCGGAUAAUAUUUUGAACCGCAUGGUUCAAAAGUGAAAGACGGUCUUGCUGUCACUUAUAGAUGGAUCCGCGCUGCAUUAGCUAGUUGGUAAGGUAACGGCUUACCAAGGCAACGAUGCAUAGCCGACCUGAGAGGGUGAUCGGCCACACUGGAACUGAGACACGGUCCAGACUCCUACGGGAGGCAGCAGUAGGGAAUCUUCCGCAAUGGGCGAAAGCCUGACGGAGCAACGCCGCGUGAGUGAUGAAGGUCUUCGGAUCGUAAAACUCUGUUAUUAGGGAAGAACAUAUGUGUAAGUAACUGUGCACAUCUUGACGGUACCUAAUCAGAAAGCCACGGCUAACUACCUGCCCCCAGCCGCGGUAAUACGUAGGUGGCAAGCGUUAUCCGGAAUUAUUGGGCGUAAAGCGCGCGUAGGCGGUUUUUUAGUCUGAUGUGAAAGCCCACGGCUCAACCGUGGAGGGUCAUUGGAAACUGGAAAACUUGAGUGCAGAAGAGGAAAGUGGAAUUCCAUAUGUAGCGGUGAAAUGCGCAGAGAUAUGGAGGAACACCAGUGGCGAAGGCGACUUUCUGGUCUGUAACUGACGCUGAUGUGCGAAAGCGUGGGGAUCAAACAGGAUUAGAUACCCUGGUAGUCCACGCCGUAAACGAUGAGUGCUAAGUGUUAGGGGGUUUCCGGCCCUUAGUGCUGCAGCUAACGCAUUAAGCACUCCGCCUGGGGAGUACGACCGCAAGGUUGAAACUCAAAGGAAUUGACGGGGACCCGCACAAGCGGUGGAGCAUGUGGUUUAAUUCGAAGCAACGCGAAGAACCUUACCAAAUCUUGACAUCCUUUGACAACUCUAGAGAUAGAGCCUUCCCCUUCGGGGGACAAAGUGACAGGUGGUGCAUGGUUGUCGUCAGCUCGUGUCGUGAGAUGUUGGGUUAAGUCCCGCAACGAGCGCAACCCUUAAGCUUAGUUGCCAUCAUUAAGUUGGGCACUCUAAGUUGACUGCCGGUGACAAACCGGAGGAAGGUGGGGAUGACGUCAAAUCAUCAUGCCCCUUAUGAUUUGGGCUACACACGUGCUACAAUGGACAAUACAAAGGGCAGCGAAACCGCGAGGUCAAGCAAAUCCCAUAAAGUUGUUCUCAGUUCGGAUUGUAGUCUGCAACUCGACUACAUGAAGCUGGAAUCGCUAGUAAUCGUAGAUCAGCAUGCUACGGUGAAUACGUUCCCGGGUCU